rnacentral:misc_RNA from 1 species
GAUGAAGAACGUAGCGAAAUGCGAUAAGUAAUGUGAAUUGCAGAAUUCAGUGAAUCAUCGAAUCUUUGAACGCACAUUGCGCCCGCCAGUAUUCUGGCGGGCAUGCCUGUUCGAGCGUCAUUUCAACCAUCAAGCCCUGCUUGCGUUGGGGUCCUGCGGCUGCCCGCAGGCCCUGAAAACCAGUGGCGGGCUCGCUAGUCACACCGAGCGCAGUAAUACAUCUCGCUUUGGGCGUGCGGCGGGUUCUUGCCGUUAAACACCCCCUUUUUACCAAGGUUGACCUCGGAUCAGGUAGGAAUACCCGCUGAACUUAAGUAUAUCAAUAAGCGGAGGA